rnacentral:rRNA from 1 species
GCAGUCGAACGCUUCUUUUUCCCCGGAGCUUGCUCCACCGGAAAAAGAAGAGUGGCGAACGGGUGAGUAACACGUGGGUAACCUGCCCAUCAGAAGGGGAUAACACUUGGAAACAGGUGCUAAUACCGUAUAACAAUCAAAACCGCAUGGUUUUGAUUUGAAAGGCGCUUUCGGGUGUCGCUGAUGGAUGGACCCGCGGUGCAUUAGCUAGUUGGUGAGGUAACGGCUCACCAAGGCCACGAUGCAUAGCCGACCUGAGAGGGUGAUCGGCCACAUUGGGACUGAGACACGGCCCAAACUCCUACGGGAGGCAGCAGUAGGGAAUCUUCGGCAAUGGACGAAAGUCUGACCGAGCAACGCCGCGUGAGUGAAGAAGGUUUUCGGAUCGUAAAACUCUGUUGUUAGAGAAGAACAAGGAUGAGAGUAACUGUUCAUCCCUUGACGGUAUCUAACCAGAAAGCCACGGCUAACUACGUGCCAGCAGCCGCGGUAAUACGUAGGUGGCAAGCGUUGUCCGGAUUUAUUGGGCGUAAAGCGAGCGCAGGCGGUUUCUUAAGUCUGAUGUGAAAGCCCCCGGCUCAACCGGGGAGGGUCAUUGGAAACUGGGAGACUUGAGUGCAGAAGAGGAGAGUGGAAUUCCAUGUGUAGCGGUGAAAUGCGUAGAUAUAUGGAGGAACACCAGUGGCGAAGGCGGCUCUCUGGUCUGUAACUGACGCUGAGGCUCGAAAGCGUGGGGAGCAAACAGGAUUAGAUACCCUGGUAGUCCACGCCGUAAACGAUGAGUGCUAAGUGUUGGAGGGUUUCCGCCCUUCAGUGCUGCAGCUAACGCAUUAAGCACUCCGCCUGGGGAGUACGACCGCAAGGUUGAAACUCAAAGGAAUUGACGGGGGCCCGCACAAGCGGUGGAGCAUGUGGUUUAAUUCGAAGCAACGCGAAGAACCUUACCAGGUCUUGACAUCCUUUGACCACUCUAGAGAUAGAGCUUCCCCUUCGGGGGCAAAGUGACAGGUGGUGCAUGGUUGUCGUCAGCUCGUGUCGUGAGAUGUUGGGUUAAGUCCCGCAACGAGCGCAACCCUUAUUGUUAGUUGCCAUCAUUCAGUUGGGCACUUUAGCAAGACUGCCGGUGACAAACCGGAGGAAGGUGGGGAUGACGUCAAAUCAUCAUGCCCCUUAUGACCUGGGCUA